UACGGAGGAUGCAAGCGUUAUCCGGAAUGAUUGGGCGUAAAGGGUCCGCAGGUGGCAGUGUAAGUCUGCUGUCAAAGAAUGAGGCUUAACCUUAUCAAGGCAGUGGAAACUACACAGCUAGAGUACGGUCGGGGUAGAAGGAAUUCCUGGUGUAGCGGUGAAAUGCGUAGAGAUCAGGAAGAACACCGGUGGCGAAAGCGUUCUGCUAGACCUGUACUGACACUGAGGGAUGAAAGCUAGGGGAGCGAAUGGG
rnacentral:rRNA from 1 species